UAAAUUUUAUUUAUUUAAAUAUUAGUAUUGCAUACUAUUGGAGGAAAAUUUCAUAUUUUAUGAAAUAUAGAAACAAAGGGUAGAGGGAUAAAUAGUUUUAUUGUUUCAUAAUAAAAAUUAUUAUUCUUAGAGUUGAUAUGUCGACCUUUGUGAUAACUGUAUAUGUUUUUAUAUUAGAAAAUUAUAUGUUAUUGUUUUAAUUAUUGGAAAUUAAAAAUUUGAAGUGUUUUAAUUUUGUGUUUUACAACGCUUUCUAUUUAUUUAAUUAAUUUUAUAUUGAAUUUAAUAAGACUUUAUUAAAUAUAUAAUCUCCAAAUAAGUAAAUUUUAAAAAUUAUAUAAAUUAAUAUAAUAUAAUUAAAGAACUUGAAGUCUUGAUCAAAUGUUUUUUAAAGACUUAGGCUUUAUAUUAAAGCUGGCUUCUGCCCUAUGAAUUUUAAAUGGCAGUCUUAGCGUGAGGACAUUAAGGUAGCAAAAUAAUUUGUGCUUUUAUUGAGUUCCAGUAUGAAUGAAGUUAUUGGUUAGUUCUUUUUAUAUUUUAUUCUUGAAUUUAAUUUUUAUUUAAGAAAAAAUAAAUAUAUUUAUACAAAGAUAAGUCUUCGGAAAUUCUGUUAUUAAAUAAAUAAUUGUUUAUUUAAUAAAUUUUCUAGGGCAGAAUAUUAUAUAAUGGUAUUUUACUAUUAAUAAUUUAAAGAAUUACUCCGGAGUUAACAGAAAAUCAUACCUAAUCUAGUUCUUAUAGUAAGGUAAGUUUUACAUCGAUGUUGUAUUCAGAUAAUCUAAGAGAGGAGAAGGCUUAGUAAUUUAGACUGUUCUUCUAUUAAUUAAUCUGACGUGAUAUUAGUUUAAUUCAUUGUGAGAUAGAAUUGUUUAUCUUGAUAAAUAUUUAUAUUUAAUACAUUUAGUACGAAAGGAACAUUGUAAAAGUUUUAAACUUUUAAGAUUUUAUAAAAUCUUA
rnacentral:rRNA from 1 species